AUUGAUUUGAUUCUUCUCACAUGUAUGAGUAACACUACCUAGUCAAAUUUCGAGUGCUUUCAUUGGAGUGAACAUCCUUGAUGAGAAUUGAAGUUAAAGCUUGUUCUUAUUUCGUUAUUUAACUUUUGUGAAGCAUAAGUCGAGGUUAUAUUAAUAUUGGCUAUUUCACAUACGACACUCCAAGUUGUUCAAUUAAAGUUUGGUUAACCCCUUGAUAAUGUCUUGAGUUAAUGUUGCUUAUUUCUUGGAAGUUAGUUAACCGUUGGUGAUUAUCUCUGAGAUCAAUAUUGGGAAUUUAGUUGUUUGUUUGUUUUGAGUCGUUUUUUUGUUUUUAUUUUCCGUUUUAUUUUGCUCGAGGACUAGCAAAAUCUAAGUUGUGAGUAUUUGAUAAGUACAUAAAUAUCUCAUUUAUGUACUCUUUUUACUUAGGUUUUGUAGGAGAAUUAGAUUUAAAAAGGGCUUAUUACUUUAC
rnacentral:lncRNA from 1 species